UUGCACUUCAUCGAUUACGUUAAACGGUCAGGUAAAAAAUAAAUUUUCUACUUUAACGAGAACAGUUUCAUUAGACUAAAAAACGUGUCGGUAUUCGAUUCGAAUCAGCAGUAUUGUAAUAUCUAUGUCCGCUAAAUCCUUUGCUUGAAUCAACCGGUUUGUCUAUAUCGUUUUGGAAAAGUUGAGUUCGUAAAGAGAACAUAAAAAACUGAAAAAACUGCGUUAUCAUUGGUCUUUGACUCGUAAUAUCUCGUGAAUAUUAGUUGCAAAAUUAUAACAGGUAUAGCAUGGUAUUUCAAGAGUACGAAAAACUCGAGGCCCCUGUUUUAUUGUUCGUGGUAAAGAUAGUGUGAUAUGCGAAUGUGAGUUCGAAGGCAGUCGGAAUAUAUUUCUUCAGGCAUAGGUGCGACCUCCAUCGCGGUGGUUUUUACUUGGAAAACCAACGCUCACAAAGACGAGGAAAAAUACGGCGAUGGAACGACGAGACCUCUCAAUCAUCUCAUGCAUAGGAGCAUCCGUGAUACACGACUCCGGCAUAAACGCGAAGCGAAGUUUGUCUUACGAGUCAACGAAAACAGCUCGGCUAACAGACGCAAGGACCGUGGGGCAAGGACGUAAAUAGAGCAUGCUGCCUGUCAAGUGGAUUCGUCUUUAACUCCAGCUCUGGAUUUAUCAUUCGUAAUUCCACUCCGAAGCUCUUCAAUAGUUCGGAAACUUGACUACAUUCGGGAAACGCGUUAUUAUUUAAAUGGAGUAAGAGCAUUCGUUAUAUAAAUGGCUCGUAAUCAAGAGACGUGAAUAUGCAAAUGUGUGGGCUUUACACGAUCUGAAAUCGUCUCACGGACGAACCGCUUGAAUAAAAAUUCUGCAUGAAUAUUCUUAAAGUGCUGAGCACUGUUAAUGGACCAACUCAUGAAAAGAUGAAAAUCAUCCAAAAAAGAUAAUGAUUAAUAUAAAAGAAUCAAGUAAUUUCAAACUGUGGCAGUACGUUAUCAGGUUUUGUCAAAUGAAUUUCAUAAAAUGGAAAUGAUUGGAUGAUAAAUUCGGUUAAAUAUCCGAGAGCAAUCAAAUGAUUUUUUGACAAAAUGUGUAGACGACUGAAUAAAAUGAAAAUUGAUUGCACUAUUUAAUGAUUGUUAGACACGAAGACGCGAGUUACAAAUGUCAGGAUGAAUGAGGCAGGAGCAUGAGAAAAAAGGAAGAUGAGGAGAAAGAGUAACGGAGAUAUAUUUAUGCGAAUGGUAUACGCUAAUGGCCACAUGCUCGUAAUUGUACCAACGGUGAGGGCUCUUCAGCAUUUACCUUUUAUAUCUGGCAUCACGAGAGUUAAGAGCUUGUAGGUGACUCUUGCUUCCUCCAACAUUUUUUGCCAGUAAAUCAACGAGACAAAAACUCGUAGUAGUUCUCGUUCUCGAGGAUUUCUAUACGGAGAUCAUAUAAACAGCAGGGUUUGUUAUCGUCUCUGGUGCACUUUGCGAAUGUUCGACGUCAGCAAACUCACAAAAUCGAUCAUGGGCCCUAAAUGGAUGCGAACUCACGGAUCGUAAAAUAAUACAGAGGGGGCACACGGGAAUUCGAAAAAUCUGAUACCCUGCAAGUGCUUCAUUAUACAGCCUCGACGAUAUACGAGCAGACUAAAAAAGUGACAGAUGGCGAGGGUCGCAGCGCAGGUCAUUUCAUGGUGGAACGCGGUGUAUGUUCCCUACCCAGCACGUAUGUAUAAUAUAGUUAUUGGAUAGAGGCGAAAGAAGACGUUAACGUUUGUGUCGAAUUAACCGCGAUAAUCGCGCGUUCAACACAUGUCGAAUGUGCGAUAAAUGGCGAACCACGAACAUAGAAAAGAAGUCGCUAGGAGGCGAGCCAGCUUUUAAUGUGGAAACUUCUACUUUUAUUGUCACAUCAAUUUCUUUUUAUUUCGAGUUACUCCUGAUGAAUCUUACAUAUUUCUUUGAGGUUUGCACUCGUGCAUUAGCCAUCACACAUCUUUAGAGCUCUGGCACAAGCUUGGAGUCAAGAAAGCUGCUGCCAUCAUUGACCUCAUUUUAUAGAGCACCAAAUUUCCUACAAAAAAGUUACCAAACACUUUUUUGUUUGUUUUGUUAAGCUUUUUUUCAAUUUGAAAGAAUUUCUCGUUCGAUUUUCGGGAUCGAGUCUUACUCGAUCCCGAUACUCGAGACAGUAAAUUUGUCAUACAAGAACUUUCCUUUCAGAAAAUUCUUAAUGCAAGUUUCCUUUUUAUUCAACUGUUUUUACACAGUAUUCAGGACGAAAUGACCCAGCUUUAUUAAUGGCUUAUUAAACUAAAGUCAGAUCGGAAAAAUGUGGAGUAAAUAUUUCGUAUUGACGUUCGAAUAUCGCACUUUAUAGUAGUCUCGUUCAACGUGGGACAAGCCAAUAGCUGUGUCUAUAUAUGUGGAGUGAUUAUACGGGAAUAUAAGACGAGGACAAAGAUCUUUUUCCCGCCUACUGGGAGACCAAGCCUCGAAGGGAUAUGCGAUUUCACGGGUAUUGAAGCACAAUGGAGACCGUCGGAAACAAUGAAUAAUAGAAAACAUGCAAAGAGGGCGCACUAUAUAGCUCUGCGACCGCUAAACUCUGCAAUUGGGACGUAUUACAAAACAAUCUGUUCAACACUGAGAAACGAAAUAUUGAAAAAAAAAGAUAGAUAAAAAGGAAAGCAAUUGAAAUAUUGCCUUUCUGUACAGCCAUCGAAAAUACAUUGCCUCACUUGAAAGAUUCCAUCGUGAAAAUACGCAAAUAUUUCUAUUAAAAUCCUCAAGAUCAUCGGCCACAGCGAUUAACAGGAUUUUUAGUAAUAACUGCGCGCGUCCAAGAGGUGCCCAUGAUUGAGCA